rnacentral:rRNA from 1 species
AUAGCGUAUAUUUAAGUUGUUGCAGUUAAAAAGCUCGUAGUUGGACUUUGGGUUGGGCUUAACGGUCGGCCGUGAGGUUCGUACUGUUGUGCCCUUUCUUCUUCUCGAAGACCACGUGUGCUCUUAACUGAGUGUGCGUGGGGUUCGGGACUUUUACUGUGAGAAAAUUAGAGUGUUCAAAGCAGGCGUUUGCUUGAAUAUUGCAGCAUGGAAUAAUGGAAUAGGAUCACGAUCUUAUUUUGUUGGUUUCUAGGAUCGAGAUAAUGAUUAAUAGGGAUAGUUGGGGGCAUCCGUAUUCAAUUGUCAGAGGUGAAAUUCUUGGAUUUAUGAAAGACGAACUACUG